rnacentral:rRNA from 1 species
GAACGCUGGCGGCAUGCCUUACACAUGCAAGUCGAACGGCAGCACGGGAGCAAUCCUGGUGGCGAGUGGCGAACGGGUGAGUAAUAUAUCGGAACGUGCCCAGUCGUGGGGGAUAACGUAGCGAAAGCUACGCUAAUACCGCAUACGAUCUAUGGAUGAAAGCGGGGGAUCGAAAGACCUCGCGCGAUUGGAGCGGCCGAUAUCAGAUUAGGUUGUUGGUGGGGUAAAAGCCCACCAAGCCGACGAUCUGUAGCUGGUCUGAGAGGACGACCAGCCACACUGGGACUGAGACACGGCCCAGACUCCUACGGGAGGCAGCAGUGGGGAAUUUUGGACAAUGGGCGCAAGCCUGAUCCAGCAAUGCCGCGUGCAGGAUGAAGGCCUUCGGGUUGUAAACUGCUUUUGUACGGAGCGAAACGGCUUUUUCUAAUACAAGAAGCUAAUGACGGUACCGUAAGAAUAAGCACCGGCUAACUACGUG